UAGCAACGCGAGGCUCCGCGGGGCUAACGGCGGGUGCGCUCGGCCCCGCCUGGGCCAAUCGCGUGGGAGAAGGAGACGUGGGGUCCCAGGAAACACCCUGAAGCGUGGUCAAGUGCCAGAGUCCAACUACACUCCCAGAGAACCUUUGCCUGCCACAGUUAGGCUAAACAAGCAACAUCAAACAAGCCAUCUGUGGAAAGAAAAACAGCCAUAAUCACGUUUCCAGCCAACACUCUGCUGACCCAUGAUACAGGAAAAAUGCAGAGGAUUAGGAACGCUUUCCCUGGUUGCUCAGGCAACAGCAAGACAUGGGAAUAUGAAAAGCUGGUGCGAGCGUGAAGGGACAUGUCUUUGGGCCCUCCUCCCUCCGCCUCCACAUUGGCAGAGGUGAGGCAUCAGGUUUCCUGACACGCCUCGGUGCCGGGCAGGUGCCUCUGGCUCGGCGGCAGCAGGACGGGAGCAGCCAGCCCGGCUCGGCACGCCUCCGCCAGCCCCGUCAGCCGCAGCUCCCGCUCCGCUGCUCCAUCAGCCCGGAAACAUCCUCACGGGAGCUCGUGAAACCCUCCUCCAAACGAGGGGAUGAGUAAGGACUCGCCGAGCCGGGGAAUCCGAGCGACAAGCCACAGACGGCAGGGACAUCCUCUCGAAGGCGAUGGACAGCUCGUGACAAAGUCACAUCGAUGGCCAUUUUCUCCCGAGCCCGGCUUGCCAGCAGCGUGGGGAGGUGCUGACAGCAGGCUGAGGUUCUCCAGGGUUCCAGGAGCAGCUCUGGGAUGGGAACAGCCCCACGCUUUGUGCCCCAGGCUUUGCUGGGUGCGGUCUCGUCUCCUGCAGCAGCUCUCGGCCCUUCCUGGCUCUUCUCGGACAAAACAAAGCCCACGGUCACCGCCGUGGCUGUGACCGAGCAGCCCAGCACCCCCAGCCCACGAGGAGCACUCCUGGUAAGCAGAGAGCACCUCAGAAUUCACCCCAGCACGGGCAGGCUCAGGUGGGGCUCCCACACAGGAGGUGCAUCCUCCCCACUCCCCAGAGGAAGUGACUAAGCCGAGCCUUACCAAGCCAGCCCAGCUGCUUGCACGGUGUUCUACCCCAGCAGCCCUCCAACCCUGCCCAGAGCCUCUGCUCCCUCCAGACAGGGAGGGUGUCCCUGCAAAGGUGUCCCUACAGCAAAAGCACAACCAAGGGGGUGGGGGAAAUUCCCUUUAUGUGCAACCACUGCAUUGGCCCUUAUGCUCUUGGAGCAGCCCAGCAGAGCCUGCUGUGCACAAACACAAACAGGGGCAAGGCACCAGGGCACAAUCUGUGUAAUCCACAGCUUGGCUGGGUCUAUAAAUACACCCGUGAGCAAGGUGUCACAGCAAAAGCUCCUGGUCCUUAAGCAAACGUGGAACUGCUGGGUUAUUUGAUGAGCACAGCCCUUGCUCAGCUGCUGCUGCACACACAGGCACUCAGCACCCAACUGGGGAGUCCUGGAUAGCUGGGGCAGGUCAGGCUCUACUGAGAUUAGUUAAGUCUGUGACCAAAUCAAACAGGAAACUUCAGAAUGGGGAGAAAACAGACAAGAAGCCCCACAGCAGCAGAGCCAGCCUCCAGCCACCUUGUCCCUCCCAGCCAUCACACCCAGGAUCCCCCAGAGCACAGCAGAGAAAUCCACACCAUGCUAAAACCCAACACUUCCCAGUGCAAGAGCUUUCCAAGUACCAGCAGUGCAGUAAAUCUGAAAAAUAGAUUUUAUUUUUAACCAGUGGUAUUGUGACAUCUUAUCUGGCAUUACCAAUUACAGCAAAAUCCAUGGAUAGGAACAAAAUAGCAGAUCUCUGCUUCUGGGUGCAGCAUGGUGCCCAGCAGCCGAGCACAGCAGCACUGGCAGCAGGGAGUUUGUGCCCCAGGGCUCCCUCGGAGGACAGACUCCAAUGAACCAUUCCCACUCACACACACAGACACACCCACACACACGACACCGAGAGCUUUUAAAAAUCUUUAGCAAUAUUUCCGCAUGAAAUCACACUGUAGCAUCUACACAGAGAAGGGCUGAUAAAAAUAAUCUUGCUGUAGGUUUACAUAGUGUAUCUACAUUUUUAUUUGAAUACCCAGACUGCUGGCCCAGCAGAAAAGGGAGGUUUUUUGUCUUGAUUUUGUUGGGCUGUGGAGAGUUUUAUCCUAGAGCACAACAGAGCUGCUCUCUGCAUCUCAGCCCAGACCUUUCUUGAACUCUUGGCCUGAAGAGAUUGCUGGGAAGUCACCCAGGAAGAAUCAAUGGCUUUGUCAUCCACGUCCCAUCCCUUUGUGCUGCCUCUUCAAACAUGGGGCAAAACCACUACAAAAACACUCUGCCCCACAGGUAACAGGAAUACAAAAUACUGCAAAAGCCUUUCUCCUCACAUACACGGGUACAUUGCCCACACAGGAUGCCUGCAACAAGUUAAAAGUCUAAAAAUGUUUCCUCCAGAAGCCCUAAAAUUGGGCUCCUGAGAUCCCCAGCCAGAGAUGGAGCACACAACCAUGCUGAGAAACCUCCCUCCUGCCAGCCUCUCACUCUGGGCACUUCACUCAUGCAGAGUCCUGGAAAAUACAAAAUAUUUGAACCAUGUUUGUUUCAAACAUACUCCCUUCUCUUGUUUCCUCGGGCAGAGAUCAACCUGCUAAGAAAUAGCCAAGAAGCUCUUAUGUGAGAGGAUAAAAAAACUUCUAGUAAAUGUUAGUUUUAUGUAUAUAAAUAUUUGUAUUUAUAGAUAUAGACAGUGAAAGGGUGAUUGUGUGUUUAUGCAUGCUUAUUUCUUUGCUUUGGGUUCCAAUACUUCUAAAAAAAAAUCUUUUCAGGAAAUAACUUAAGUUCUGGCACAAGAUACUAUAGUCAUUUCUUUAAAGAAUGUUUUUUUACACUUGAUCUCACAAGAAACCUUUCCACCCAAGCUCUCCUCCUCUGCAGAGAGGUCAGAACAAAGAAAAAGGUGCAUGUUUCUGUUGUUGGACACAACUUCCCUCCCUUGUUGAAGCCUCCAGGAUGGCAGGGAUUUCACAAGGAGCUGCAGCACAGGAGGAAGGGUGCUGUGAUUUUAUGGCACUGCCUGAGGUACUCAGCAAACACUUCACUGAUUGAACUGCCCCCAGUGCCAUCCCCAAAAAGUAAGGACAAAAAUCAAGCAGCUCUACAUGCACAUACAGCUACAACAUGCAAAAACACACCACCUUGUAGGGAACAGGAUACACAAACGUGUGGCUAGCAAGGAUUUCCCCAACCUCUGGCUCCUGGGAGACAAUGCUGAGAAGCCUCAGAACAAGAGGAGGAGGAAAGUGAGAAACACAGGAAUACCCAAUCCAGGGGUUGAGGUUGUUGCCUCAGAGUUCCUUCCCAAUCACAUUGAGUUCAUGCCUUGCUGCCUGGGAGCCUUCA